rnacentral:misc_RNA from 1 species
GAUGAAGAACGUAGCGAAAUGCGAUAAGUAAUGCGAAUUGCAGAAUUCAGUGAGUCAUCGAAUCUUUGAACGCACAUUGCGCCCUGUGGUAUUCCGCAGGGCAUGCCUGUUCGAGCGUCAUUUCAACCCUCAAGCUCUGCUUGGUGUUGGGCCCUGCCCGCUGCGGCCGGCCCUGAAGACAGUGGCGGUGCCGCCUGGCCCUGAGCGUAGUACAUCUCUCGCUCCAGUGCCCGGUGGUAGCCUGCCAGAACCCCAACUCUCGUGGUUGACCUCGGAUCAGGUAGGGAUACCCGCUGAACUUAAGCAUAUCAAUAAGCGGAGGA